rnacentral:rRNA from 1 species
AUGAAAAGAAAAUUUGAACUCUCUCUUUGUUCUUGGGUUGGAGAAGAGACAUAUAUGGACUAUUUUAUAGAAAGUGAUAUGGGGCAAGCCACUAGGGUGGAUAAGCACACUCCGCUCAUCAGAGUGGCAAGGAGGGUGCUUCAGCCGAAGGGAGAGGGGGGAGGGGGCUCCGUUUACGUGGAGCCUAGGCGGGGGUUGAUGAUGGUCUGUGCUGAAGAAUCGUGCAAGACAUCGGCUGUGUACGUCGGUAUCGCCUCGGUGGUGGCCUUCAUGGGACCCAAGCGGUGGCGGCCUACCGUCUUCUACUUUUGCUUCAUGAUGGCGGUGGGUGCGGACGUGCGGGCCGUCACCUCGUCAAUGUCCGCGCAGCCAACUUCUUUCUCUGCUGAGAAGGCACGAUUACACGCGCGUUGA